GUCCCACCCCCCAGUGGCGCAAUGGGUCAGCACACCUGGCUGUUAACCAGAAGGUUGGUGGUUCGAGCCCACUCAGGGACG